rnacentral:rRNA from 1 species
GUCUGUAUGAAGUUAUAUAGAGUCUGACCUGCCCGUUGAAGAAAUUUGAAAGGCCGCGGUAUAUUAACUGUGCAAAGGUAGCAUAAUCAUUAGUUUUUUAAUUGAAAGCUUGUAUGAAGGGUUGGACAAAGAAAAAACUGUCUUUAAUUUUGGGUUUGAAGUUAACUUUUAAGUGAAAAGGCUUAAAUAAAUUUAAGGGACGAUAAGACCCUAUAAAUCUUUAUAUUAAAAUAUUUUUUUUGAAAAUUAAUUUUUGUCUAGAAUAAAGUAAAAUAUAUAAUAUUUUGUUGGGGUGACGAGAAUAUAAUUUUAACUGUUCUUAAAUAAAACAGAGGUAUUUGUUUUAGGUUAAUGGAUCCUUUUUAGAGAUUAAUAGAUUAAGUUACUUUAGGGAUAACAGCGUUAUUUUUUUUGAGAGUUCUUAUCGAAAAAAAAGUUUGCGACCUCGAUGUUGAAUUAAAAUUUCUCUACGGUGUAGAAGUUGUAGUGAGAAAGUCUGUUCGACUUUUAAAAUUUU